rnacentral:tRNA from 1 species
GGUAAGAUAAGCUAAAUAAAGCUUUUGGGCCCAUACCCCAAAUAUGAUGCUCAUAACAUCUCUUACUA